AGCCUGCGUAGAUUUAGGGUUAUUCUGUGUUCUUCUUUUUCAGACGAUUCUUGACAUUCGAUGUGUUUUUUUUUUUUUUUUUUUUUUUACCGUAGCUUAACACAUUCGAUGUUACACCGACACAACCCACUCCCUUUCCUACCCGUAACGUAUGUUACAUCUCACACUUCUCCAUUGACAACUUCAUCUGAUUUCACUUCUUUUCACUUAUUAAGUUUUUUUUUUGUUUUAUUGUUGUUGCGGGAGUGCGUGAUGUGAGGUCCCAGAAGAUUCCACAACAGACAGACCUUAAUCGGCCUCCUCUAUUUACAGAUUUCCUGAGAAAUUUUUGUCCAGCUGCAGUAAAAUUGGCCUAAUGGAGACUGAAAUGAUGGAGAUUUGAUGCAGAGUACGUGUCCUUCAUGGGAGACUCGCCACAAAUAGUAAGGGGACGGAGCACAGAAACCAGGAGACGAUGACACGCUACAUUUAGAUGCUUCUGUGAACAAGUUUUCCAGCAGAGUAUGGAUGACGACAUGAGGCAAGCUAUGAACAAAAAAAAAGUGAUAUUCAUGGACAGUACUCGGGUCUGUUGAGGCUGUUUGAAUACAGAGGCUUCCCUCCUACAGCUAACUGCUUAUUCUUAGGAGAUUACGUGGACCGAAGGUAGCAGAGUUUGGAGACGGUCUGUCUUCUACUUUUCUACAAAAUCAAAUACCCGAGAACCUUUUAUUUCUGAGAGGAAACCACGAAUGAGCUUCCAUCAAGAGAAUCUACAGAUUCUACAAUGGAUUCGACCCUAGAUUCAGUAUUACAAACAUUAAGCGACCUACUGACGUUCCAGACUCUGGUCAGCUCUGUGGUUUGCUUUGAUCUGAUCAAGCAAAGAUGUCAAAGCUGGUGAAUGAACCACCGUGGUGACUUCGACAAUGCUGGUGCAAUGAUAAGUGUUGGUGAGGAUACUCUUUCCAAAUUCUUAAGCAUGUGGAUCGGAGGCCCUGGUUCUUAUGAUCAAAAGAGAGUAUGACACCAGCUCUCACUAUUUGCGUACACAAUGCUUAAGAAUUGUGAUGACAAGAAGAUCAAGAAGAUUUGUGAUGUAAAUUCAGAUCCUUCAUGAACUACUGAAAAUGUGAACGGAGAAGUACCUGAAACGAACAGCUCAUCGCUGCGGUUGCCAGUGGUAACUAGCCAUGAGUCGAGCCUUGUGGCUAGAUGUCGAAGAGUAUAUUCUCAUGCUCAUAAUUAUCAUAUCAAUUCUAUCUCAAAUAACAGUGACGGCGAAACAUUUAUUUCUGCUGAUGAUUUGCGAAGAAAUCUUUGGAAUCUGGAAAUUACCAAUCAAAGUUUCAACAUUGUUAAUGUCAAGCCAGAGAAAAUGGAAGAUCUAUCUGAGGUUAUUACAUCAGCAGUUCUAAAGGCUCAAUUCGCCUGAUUGAUCUGCGCCAAUCAGCUUUAUGUGAUUCACAUUCCAAAUUAUAAGUUUUUCUUAGACUGGCAAUUCUGAAGAGUUAUCUAGCAGCAAAGGCUUUGACAUUGCUUUUGUUUCUGUAAGGUUUGAGGAACCAGAAGCAGCUGGUUCUAAAUCGUUCUUCACUGAGAUCAUUGUUUCAGUGUCAGACAUCAAACUUGCUAAAGAAGGAAGAUAUCUACUUAGCCAUGACUAUAUGACACUUAAGUUAUGGGACAUUAACAUGGAUUCAGGUCCGGUAGCGACUUUCUAGGUUCAUGAACAUCUGAAACCGAAGCUCUAUGAUUUAUAUGAAAAUGAUUCCAUCUUUGACAAGUUCGAGUGUUGUAUAAGUGGCGAUGGAUUGCGAGCAGCUACAGGUUCCUACAUAUAUGCCCUGAAAAAGCAGAGCAUAUUUUAUGUUAUUAGACUAUGAUUCCAUGUAUAAGUGUUCCCUCUCUGUGUAUAGCAAUCUGUUCCGUGUGUUUGGUGUUUCCCCGGGAAGUACUGAGACUGCAACCUUAGAAGCAAGCAGAAAUCCAAUGAGUUUGAACCUCUCGGGGAAAGAAAACGAAAUUGGCAAACAUGAAACCAGACAAGAGAAUUAUGACGGUACUUGAGACUUUGUCAUUUUAGGCCUUGCAAGGAUGCUUAAAAUGCAUUUUACAUGUUAUACCAUAUCUUUAUGAACACUCACUAAUUUUUUUCUCAAAACUUUGUGUUUUAAUGAUUUUCUCUGACUCAUAUUGGACAGUAAAAAGUCUGCAAAGUUUUAUUUUUCAAUCAA